CCUACGGGAGGCAGCAGGGAGGAAUAGUGGACAAUGGGAGAGAUCCUGAACGAGCCAAGCAGCGUGAGGGAAGAAGGCCCUAUGGGUGGUAAACCUCUGUUGUCGGAGAACAAAACCCGGGACGUGUACCGGACUGCGUGUACCUGAAGAAAAAGCAUCGGGUAACUCCGUGCCAGCAGCCGCGGUAAUACGGAGGAUGCGAGCGUUAUCCGGAUUUAUUGGGUUUAAAGGGUGCGUAGGCGGUCCGUUAAGUCAGCGGUAAAAGUGCGGGGCUCAACCCCGGCGAGCCGUUGAAACUGGCAGACUUGAGUUGGCGAGAAGUACGCGGAAUGCGCGGUGUAGCGGUGAAAUGCAUAGAUAUCGCGCAGAACUCCGAUUGCGAAGGCAGCGUACCGGCGCCAGACUGACGCUGAGGCACGAAAGCGUGGGGAUCGAACAGGAUUAGAUACCCUUGUAGUC
rnacentral:rRNA from 1 species